rnacentral:rRNA from 1 species
AAAACAUCUCUUUAUGAAUAAAAUAAUAAGUGGCCUCUCCUCUAUUAUUUUCUUAUGGCUUGCAUCAAUUUAUUCUGAUCAAGGUCGCAUAAUAAACUCUUUUUUAAAUUGAACUUUUCUGGAAAGAACGCUUGAUCCCUAAGGACAUUUAAAUUUAUUAAUUGAAUUUGAUUUUUAUAUACCAAAGCUUCAAUAGUUUUACGGGACGAGAAGACCCUAUAGAAUUUUCUAUCAAAAUAUUAUUUUAAUAAUAUUUAGAGUAUUUAUUUGGGAGGAAUGUUAAAAUUAAAAACUUUAAUUAGUAAUUUACUAGAAUAUUAGGAUAUAAAUUGAAUUUAUUAAUAAAUAUAAGAUUAAAUUACCUUAGGGAUAACAGCGUAAUAUUUUUUAAAAGUUCAUAUUUAAAAAAGUGUUU